rnacentral:rRNA from 1 species
GAUGAACGCUGGCGGCGUGCCUAAUACAUGCAAGUCGAGCGAACGGACGAGAAGCUUGCUUCUCUGAUGUUAGCGGCGGACGGGUGAGUAACACGUGGAUAACCUACCUAUAAGACUGGGAUAACUUCGGGAAACCGGAGCUAAUACCGGAUAAUAUUUUGAACCGCAUGGUUCAAAAGUGAAAGACGGUCUUGCUGUCACUUAUAGAUGGAUCCGCGCUGCAUUAGCUAGUUGGUAAGGUAACGGCUUACCAAGGCAACGAUGCAUAGCCGACCUGAGAGGGUGAUCGGCCACACUGGAACUGAGACACGGUCCAGACUCCUACGGGAGGCAGCAGUAGGGAAUCUUCCGCAAUGGGCGAAAGCCUGACGGAGCAACGCCGCGUGAGUGAUGAAGGUCUUCGGAUCGUAAAACUCUGUUAUUAGGGAAGAACAUAUGUGUAAGUAACUGUGCACAUCUUGACGGUACCUAAUCAGAAAGCCACGGCUAACUACGUGCCAGCAGCCGCGGUAAUACGUAGGUGGCAAGCGUUAUCCGGAAUUAUUGGGCGUAAAGCGCGCGUAGGCGGUUUUUUAAGUCUGAUGUGAAAGCCCACGGCUCAACCGUGGAGGGUCAUUGGAAACUGGAAAACUUGAGUGCAGAAGAGGAAAGUGGAAUUCCAUGUGUAGCGGUGAAAUGCGCAGAGAUAUGGAGGAACACCAGUGGCGAAGGCGACUUUCUGGUCUGUAACUGACGCUGAUGUGCGAAAGCGUGGGGAUCAAACAGGAUUAGAUACCCUGGUAGUCCACGCCGUAAACGAUGAGUGCUAAGUGUUAGGGGGUUUCCGCCCCUUAGUGCUGCAGCUAACGCAUUAAGCACUCCGCCUGGGGAGUACGACCGCAAGGUUGAAACUCAAAGGAAUUGACGGGGACCCGCACAAGCGGUGGAGCAUGUGGUUUAAUUCGAAGCAACGCGAAGAACCUUACCAAAUCUUGACAUCCUUUGACAACUCUAGAGAUAGAGCCUUCCCCUUCGGGGGGGGCAAAGUGACAGGUGGUGCAUGGUUGUCGUCAGCUCGUGUCGUGAGAUGUUGGGUUAAGUCCCGCAACGAGCGCAACCCUUAAGCUUAGUUGCCAUCAUUAAGUUGGGCACUCUAAGUUGACUGCCGGUGACAAACCGGAGGAAGGUGGGGAUGACGUCAAAUCACCAUGCCCCUUAUGAUUUGGGCUACACACGUGCUACAAUGGACAAUACAAAGGGCAGCGAAACCGCGAGGUCAAGCAAAUCCCAUAAAGUUGUUCUCAGUUCGGAUUGUAGUCUGCAACUCGACUACAUGAAGCUGGAAUCGCUAGUAAUCGUAGAUCAGCAUGCUACGGUGAAUACGUUCCCGGGUCU